GAGCUUUAGGGAGGAGAAGGAGGAAAACAAGAAGAUUGGCAGCAGAUGUUAGCUCAGGCGCCAAUCUCUAAAGAAAAAGAAAAAGCUUUCAGAGCCUCCCACCUUUCAUAAAAUAAAGUCCACACUCUUUGAGAUGGCUUGCAAGCCCUUCUAGAAGAGACUGCUGCCCAGCUCUUACAGAAACUCCCUAAAACUGCACUCAUUAUGAGCUUGGAAACUCAGGAAUUUAUUAUAAGGAAUUGGUUCGCACAGUUAUGGAGACUGGAAAGUCCAAAAUCUGCAAUGUGGGCCUGCAGUCCAGAGACCCAGAGGAGCUGAUGUUGCAGUUUGAGUCUGAAGGCUGUCUGCUAGAGAAGGCUCUCUUGCCUGGAGGAGGGAAGUCUUUCUAUUCAGACCUUCAACUGAUGGGUCGAGGCCCAUUCACAUUAUGGAGAGCAGCCUGCGUUACUCAAAGUCCACCCAUUUAAAUGUUAAUCACAUCCAAACACCCAGAAUACUGUUCUUGUUGAUUGUUAUGACCUUUAUAUAUAAUCCGGAUAGUAAUCUCUCCUCUGUUUUAGAGGUUGCAAGUAUUUUCUCCCAGUCUGUCAUUUGCUUUUUAGCUUGGCUUACGGAGUCUUCAGGAAUGCAGACAUUUUCAUUGUUUAUGGAGUUAAGUUUGCUUGAGUUUCAUUUCAUAAUGUUUGUGUUUUCCUGAGGAAAACCUUCCAACCACUAAAUUAUUAAAAAACAUUCUCCUCCUGUCCCCCUACUGUUUCUACAUUUGGCUCUUGAAGGCAGUGAAGAUAGAGGACAGGAGGCUGGAGGCUCACAGGGACUGGUGGAGUUUGCAUCCUGACGCUGUCUCACGCUGCGUGAGUGACCUCAAACUCUUGUGUCUCAGCUCAUCCGAAAAACGGGAACAAUGCUUAUCUGGACUGUUAAAGCCCUGUGGAAAUAUUAUUAUUACAAAAAAUCAACUGGCAAAACAAUAUAAAUGUGACAGUAUUUCAAUAGCCUUUGAAAGCAAAAUUUUGUUUCUGAUAAUAGGCCUUUCCAAGAACAUUUAUUAUCUUAUUCAUUUCUAUAUUCUGUGGACGCUUAGAAUCUUUCCAGAUUUUUAAAUUAUGAGUGUGCUGAAAUAAAAAUUGUUUUAUA
rnacentral:lncRNA from 1 species